UACGUAGGGGGCAAGCGUUGUCCGGAUUUAUUGGGCGUAAAGAGCUCGUAGGUGGUUCGGUAAGUCGGAUGUGAAAUCUCCAGGCUCAACCUGGAGGGGUCAUUCGAUACUGCCGUGACUAGAGUUCGGUAGGGGAGUGUGGAAUUCCUGGUGGAGCGGUGAAAUGCGCAGAUAUCAGGAGGAACACCCGUAGCGAAGGCGGCACUCUGGGCCGAUACUGACACUGAGGAGCGAAAGCGUGGGGAGCGAACAG
rnacentral:rRNA from 1 species